rnacentral:rRNA from 1 species
ACAGCUGCUCAUUUCAGGGCGUUCCCGCGACCUAACGGUUGCGGUAACCCCUAAUACUUCCCUUGACUGGGCUAGAUUAUUGUAAUUAUUGGUCUUCAACGAGGAAUUUUUAGUAGGCACGGGUCAUUAUCCCGUGCCGAAUGCGUCCCUGCCCUUUGUAA